rfam:Ixodes scapularis strain Wikel colony gcontig_1107728695964, whole genome shotgun sequence.
UUCUGAGGGGAUUGACAGAUUUGGAGCUGUUUCUUGAUUCGGUGGAUGGUGGUGCAUUUCCGUUCUUAGUUGGUGGAGCAAUUCAUCUGGUUAAUUCCGAUAACAAACGAGACUCUAGUCUAUGAAAUAGGUGCGUGGUUCUCUGCACCUUUCACUCGUCUUAGAUGGACAAGUGGCUCCUAGCCGCACGAAACAGAGCAUUAACAGGUCUGUGGCGCCCUUAGAU